rnacentral:tRNA from 1 species
GGAAGCGUACUCAAACUGGUGAAGAGGUCUGUCCUGAAAACAGAUAGGUCGGUGUGAAUCGGCAUAGGGGUUCGAAUCCCUUCGCUUCCG